AUCAGUUAAUUUAAAUCAACCAAACUCAUAUGUUUUACCUUUGUGUAUCUUCUUUCUUACGUUCAUAUAUCAGGUAAACCAUGACACACUAUAUAUAUCAUCAUGCUUUGCUUCCCUUUGCAGUUACAUCAAUGUCUGUAAUCAUGUUUAUUCGAAACCUCAAAAGUAGGUUUUGCAUCGGAUUGUUACACCUGUCCUGUCCACGAGAUUGCAUCCAUCCAGAAGGGAAUGAAAAGAGCAUCAAGGCAUUUUUGGCAAAUUCUUGAUUUUGUUCUUGAGCGUGGCAUUUACCAAUCCAUUAUAUAUAUUUUCUGAAAUCGCAUAUGCAAUGCUGUAUUGCUGCUACUUGUUUGCGGCGAUGGUUAGGGUUCGACAUUGGAUCAAUCGUCAGUUAAUGUUUAUUAUUCUUUGGUUUGGUGUGUGUCAAGUAGGAAACUUUUUUUUUUCGAACGGUAUAAUCGUCUCUUCGGCAACUGGGCAAUGGGGAAGUAGUAGAUCCAUGUGAUUGCAAAUGAUACUGCAUUCCUUUCUCAGUACAUGAUUCAGGGGUUGGGUUGGUUGGGUCAGUGAAGAAAUCAGCAAAACUGCAGUCCACAAGAUACAGUGAAUUAUGCUUACAAGGUGUUUGUCUUAAUGGCUGCAAGUUGACACUUCACAGCAUGUCCUUUGCAUUUAUAACUAUAAAAGGUCGUGUUCUAUGCAUGCUAGCUCGUGCUCAUCACCAGUUGGUAGAUUUGUGCAGUUAUUUUCCCUGAUUAUUAUAUUAUCUCACUAUAUGAUGCAAAAAUUUAAAGCUCAUGUUAUCUCAUGAUGUGGUAUGCUCUUUAUACAAUCUCUCAGUAGUUCUCCAAAGUGCCUCACCAAUUUGUGAUCAACAUUUUUUCCCAAUAAAAUGCUAUGCUGACUAUCGCACUAUAUAUCUCAUUUUUGAAACACAAUAGUAUGAGUACUGCUUUUGAUUUUGUAUCGUAGUCAUUCACUCAACAUGUAUGUUGCCUUGUUGUAAAAACAGGGUAGUAUGAAUUAAAUACUGAAGCCCAGAAAUUCACUCCCAUAGUGCAACUGUAAAUUUGUAACUGAAUGAAUUGCAGUAAUUGCUUUGGUACUAAUAGGUAGUGUAAAUUGGUAUUGGUAACUGACUGAAACAAUACUCACUUCUCAUAUCCUGUCCAUGACAUCUACUGUUCAUGCUGGCUGUUUUUCUUUUCAUGUGCGGAUUCUAGUAUUCCACUCGGGUGUUUCCUGCAAUAAGCUGAUAUCUAACAAUUGCAAGGAUCUACACUCAUGUAUCAACUCAAGGUGACAAACAGCAGCCACCCAUCAUCUUGACUGAUUCGAUAUUGAAUUAUUGAUCUAUGGAAGAAUUUGUUGCUUUGGUCGGCUGAUAGAUAUAUUAAGAUGAAAUAUAUGCAGCUGCUUCAUCUGUUGAGAUGUCACAUGACUGUCUGAAUUUGUAGAGUAGGCAAGCUAGCUUGUCUUAAAGCUUUGAUAUUUCUUUAAUUAACAUGUGUAUGUUGAAACCUAAA